ACACUUCCCAGAAAACUCCCCUGUUCCAAACUAUUCCACUUGUACCAUUAUCAAAGUCAUCCAUCCCUCCAACUGGGGUCAAGACGUAGCUCUUCCAAAGAAAUUUCAAGCCAAAUUUGGCCAAAGCCUUCCCACUACCACGACUUUCACAUACUAGGACUAUCACCAAGCCUGAAUAAAUGCUUUCCUAAUUCAAAGCUCCAGCAACUGUCACACUUUGCUAUUUUUCUUCAACACUGUCUCCAAAUUUCUCUUUCCCAGAUGAUUCGCCCAAUGGUGGAACUGGAUAGGAGCCACCGGAAAGGAGCCACCCCCAAUAUUUUGCCCUCUAAAAUUUAUCAAGGGUAGACAACUUUUAAAGCCCGCUAUAAGCCUACAACUGAAGAA
rnacentral:misc_RNA from 1 species